rnacentral:rRNA from 1 species
GGGGAAUAUUGAACAAUGGGGGAAACCCUGAUGCAGCAACGCCGCGUGAAGGAUGAAGGUUUUCGGAUUGUAAACUUCUUUAGUCAGGGACGAAUAAAUGACGGUACCUGAAGAAUAAGCCACGGCUAACUACGUGCCAGCAGCCGCGGUAAUACGUAGGUGGCGAGCGUUGUCCGGAAUUAUUGGGCGUAAAGAGCUUGUAGGCGGUCCGUCACGUCGGAAGUGAAAACUCAGGGCUUAACCCUGAGCCUGCUUUCGAUACGGGCAGACUUGAGGGAUGUAGGGGAGAACGGAAUUCCUGGUGGAGCGGUGGAAUGCGCAGAUAUCAGGAGGAACACCAGUGGCGAAGGCGGUUCUCUGGACAUUUCCUGACGCUGAGAAGCGAAAGCGUGGGGAGCAAACA